GGGGUUGUAGCUCAGUGGUCAGAGCGUUAGAAUUAUGACUUGAAGGUCGGGGUUCGAUUCCCGACACCCACU
rfam:Macrostomum lignano uti_cns_0000233, whole genome shotgun sequence.